rnacentral:rRNA from 1 species
GAUUCGUCACACUAUCAUUAACUGAAUCCAUAGGUUAAUGAGGCGAACCGGGGGAACUGAAACAUCUAAGUACCCCGAGGAAAAGAAAUCAACCGAGAUUCCCCCAGUAGCGGCGAGCGAACGGGGAGGAGCCCAGAGCCUGAAUCAGCAUGUGUGUUAGUGGAAGCGUCUGGAAAGGUGCGCGAUACAGGGUGACAGCCCCGUACACAAAAGCGCAUGUGCUGUGAGCUCGAUGAGUAGGGCGGGACACGUGGUAUCCUGUCUGAAUAUGGGGGGACCAUCCUCCAAGGCUAAAUACUCCUGACUGACCGAUAGUGAACCAGUACCGUGAGGGAAAGGCGAAAAGAACCCCGGCGAGGGGAGUGAAAAAGAACCUGAAACCGUGUACGUACAAGCAGUGGGAGCACAGGUUUACCUGUGUGACUGCGUACCUUUUGUAUAAUGGGUCAGCGACUUAUAUUCUGUAGCAAGGUUAACCGUAUAGGGGAGCCGGAGGGAAACCGAGUCUUAAUUGGGCGUUAAGUUGCAGGGUAUAGACCCGAAACCCGGUGAUCUAGCCAUGGGCAGGUUGAAGGUUGGGUAACACUAACUGGAGGACCGAACCGACUAAUGUUGAAAAAUUAGCGGAUGACCUGUGGCUGGGGGUGAAAGGCCAAUCAAACCGGGAGAUAGCUGGUUCUCCCCGAAAGCUAUUUAGGUAGCGCCUCGUGAAUUCAUCUCCGGGGGUAGAGCACUGUUUCGGCUAGGGGGCCAUCCCGGCUUACCAACCCGAUGCAAACUGCGAAUACCGGAGAAUGUUAUCACGGGAGACACACGGCGGGUGCUAACGUCCGUCGUGAAGAGGGAAACAACCCAGACCGCCAGCUAAGGUCCCAAAGUCAUGGUUAAGUGGGAAACGAUGUGGGAAGGCCCAGACAGCCAGGAUGUUGGCUUAGAAGCAGCCAUCAUUUAAAGAAAGCGUAAUAGCUCACUGGUCGAGUCGGCCUGCGCGGAAGAUGUAACGGGGCUAAACCAUGCACCGAAGCUGCGGCAGCGAACGUAUCACCCAAGACAACUUUACGGAGUUGACGAUUGACGGAGCGAAGCGACGUCAAAGCGUUCAUUAAAGUCGAGUUGGCUUAGGGAUACGUUCGUUGGGUAGGGGAGCGUUCUGUAAGCCUGUGAAGGUGUGUCGUGAGGCAUGCUGGAGGUAUCAGAAGUGCGAAUGCUGACAUAAGUAACGAUAAAGCGGGUGAAAAGCCCGCUCGCCGGAAGACCAAGGGUUCCUGUCCAACGUUAAUCGGGGCAGGGUGAGUCGACCCCUAAGGCGAGGCCGAAAGGCGUAGUCGAUGGGAAACGGGUUAAUAUUCCCGUACUUGGUGUUACUGCGAAGGGGGGACGGAGAAGGCUAUGUUGGCCGGGCGACGGUUGUCCCGGUUUAAGCGUGUAGGUGUGUGUUCCAGGUAAAUCCGGUUCACUUUAACACUGAGGCGUGACGACGAGGCACUACGGUGCUGAAGCAACAAAUGCCCUGCUUCCAGGAAAAGCCUCUAAGCAUCAGGUAACAUCAAAUCGUACCCCAAACCGACACAGGUGGUCAGGUAGAGAAUACCAAGGCGCUUGAGAGAACUCGGGUGAAGGAACUAGGCAAAAUGGUGCCGUAACUUCGGGAGAAGGCACGCUGACACGUAGGUGAAGUGAUUUACUCAUGGAGCUGAAGUCAGUCGAAGAUACCAGCUGGCUGCAACUGUUUAUUAAAAACACAGCACUGUGCAAACACGAAAGUGGACGUAUACGGUGUGACGCCUGCCCGGUGCCGGAAGGUUAAUUGAUGGGGUCAGCGCAAGCGAAGCUCCUGAUCGAAGCCCCGGUAAACGGCGGCCGUAACUAUAACGGUCCUAAGGUAGCGAAAUUCCUUGUCGGGUAAGUUCCGACCUGCACGAAUGGCGUAAUGAUGGCCAGGCUGUCUCCACCCGAGACUCAGUGAAAUUGAACUCGCUGUGAAGAUGCAGUGUACCCGCGGCAAGACGGAAAGACCCCGUGAACCUUUACUAUAGCUUGACACUGAACAUUGAGCCUUGAUGUGUAGGAUAGGUGGGAGGCUUUGAAGUGUGGACGCCAGUCUGCAUGGAGCCGACCUUGAAAUACCACCCUUUAAUGUUUGAUGUUCUAACGUGGACCCGUAAUCCGGGUUGCGGACAGUGUCUGGUGGGUAGUUUGACUGGGGCGGUCUCCUCCUAAAGAGUAACGGAGGAGCACGAAGGUUGGCUAAUCCUGGUCGGACAUCAGGAGGUUAGUGCAAUGGCAUAAGCCAGCUUGACUGCGAGCGUGACGGCGCGAGCAGGUGCGAAAGCAGGUCAUAGUGAUCCGGUGGUUCUGAAUGGAAGGGCCAUCGCUCAACGGAUAAAAGGUACUCCGGGGAUAACAGGCUGAUACCGCCCAAGAGUUCAUAUCGACGGCGGUGUUUGGCACCUCGAUGUCGGCUCAUCACAUCCUGGGGCUGAAGUAGGUCCCAAGGGUAUGGCUGUUCGCCAUUUAAAGUGGUACGCGAGCUGGGUUUAGAACGUCGUGAGACAGUUCGGUCCCUAUCUGCCGUGGGCGCUGGAGAACUGAGGGGGGCUGCUCCUAGUACGAGAGGACCGGAGUGGACGCAUCACUGGUGUUCGGGUUGUCAUGCCAAUGGCACUGCCCGGUAGCUAAAUGCGGAAGAGAUAAGUGCUGAAAGCAUCUAAGCACGAAACUUGCCCCGAGAUGAGUUCUCCCUGAGACUUAGAGUCUCCUGAAGGAACGUUGAAGACGACGACGUUGAUAGGCCGGGUGUGUAAGCGCAGCGAUGCGUUGAGCUAACCGGUACUAAUGAACCGUGAGGCUUAACCUUACAACGCCGAAG